rnacentral:lncRNA from 1 species
GGCACUUGCAACUUUAUUGCGCCAGCAAGAACAUGCAUACAGCCCAGUCUAACGUACAGGAUCAAAAAGAGACCUUAUUUCGGCUGGCAAUUACCUUACCCGCUUGUUCAUUAUCUGACUCCUGCACUCCUCCCAAGUGUUCAAUGUUAACCAGAUGGCAAAGUUAACCAGACAGAGGAAAUCCACAUAAUUACUCUAGAUGAAGCCCCCUAACUGCGGAUUAGAAGGAAAAGAGAUGAAGGGUGCUGCACUAAUAAUAACAACCAUUUUCAACCAAGGCAGGAUUCUGGGCCUAGAAUCUUCAGUGACAAAUUACCAGGAGAGGAGGAGGGAAAUGAAGAGCUGGAGGCCUAGGGAGAUGGUGUGAGGAGAGGAGACUGUGCCUUUCCACUUCUUAAUAAUUAAUGUUCUCCUGCUGCUCUGAGUCUGCAUCACCAGUGAUUCAGUUUGAGUCAGACAUCCAACAACAACUGAGCAAAAGAAUCAUCUCAGAUCCAAGCAAUGGUGACGCGCAGAUAGAAGAGACUGAGGCCAACGACCAAAGCAAAGGACAGCAGAACUGACUGACACAGCUCAGAAAAUAUCCAAAGCUCUGUAUGCUCUGGAAAGGAAGACAAGAAAUGCUAAAGACUCUGGAUAUUGCUCUGUUUCUAUAAGGUCCCACCCAUAUACCAUCUCUUCUUUUGGAUUUCCUUUGGCAGCUAUACUUGGCCCCAAGGUUUCAACCUCACACUGAAGAAAGUGACAUAAGAAAACACAAGUCCCAGUGCUAUCAGGGGCUAUCUGGAAAAGCUGCUUAAACAGCAAGUGAAAGAAGGCUCUCCCCUACCCCGUUCUAGAUGACAGGUCCUAUGUAAGAUACACAUACCACAUGCUGUCAACCCAUCUGAGACACUCAGCUUUCAAAUGACAGUUCUUCUCUGAAGCUAACCUAGCCAAAAGAGUGAAAUACACUAUCUGUUAAGCUGUGUCAGUAGCUAAGUCUGUGUGUCUAAAUUAAAAACAUACUCACCCUGAAGUUAUUUGAAGGAUCCUUGAGACUCUUUUGGAUUGCUGCUUGGAGAACAUUCCUGUAACUUGUCCCUGCUCCUUGAACUAUAAAAGCAGAAGGGAGGUACUGAGUUAAAACUUACAAAUUAUUAUCAAAUAAAUCUUCAAUAGUGGUUCAGUCCAA